rnacentral:rRNA from 1 species
GACGAACGCUGGCGGCGUGCCUAAUACAUGCAAGUAGAACGCUGAAGAGAGGAGCUUGCUCUUCUUGGCUGAGUUGCGAACGGGUGAGUAACGCGUAGGUAACCUGCCUUGUAGCGGGGGAUAACUAUUGGAAACGAUAGCUAAUACCGCAUAACAAUGGAUGACCCAUGUCAUUUAUUUGAAAGGGGCAAAUGCUCCACUACAAGAUGGACCUGCGUUGUAUUAGCUAGUAGGUGAGGUAACGGCUCACCUAGGCGACGAUACAUAGCCGACCUGAGAGGGUGAUCGGCCACACUGGGACUGAGACACGGCCCAGACUCCUACGGGAGGCAGCAGUAGGGAAUCUUCGGCAAUGGGGGCAACCCUGACCGAGCAACGCCGCGUGAGGGAAGAAGGUUUUCGGAUCGUAAAGCUCUGUUGUAAGUCAAGAACGAGUGUGAGAGUGGAAAGUUCACACUGUGACGGUAGCUUACCAGAAAGGGACGGCUAACUACGUG